GCCUCCGGCCACCUUCACCCCCAAACUCUUCCAAGCCGACCCAGAGCCGGUCGCGGCGCACCACCGCGGAGAAAAUGCGCCCGACGGGGGCCGGAGACGACAGGGGCGGUGGUCGCCGACUAGACGAUCCACACGACACCGAGCCGCCGUACCAUAACCCGCCGGGUUGAGUCCCCCGGGCAGACUGCGCGGACCCCACCCGUUUACCUCUUAACGGUUUCACGCCCUGUUGAACUCUCUCUUCAAAGUUCUUUUCAACUUUCCCUUACGGUACUUGUCGACUAUCGGUCUCGUGCCAGUAUUUAGCCUUAGAUGGAGUUUACCACCCACUUUGGGCUGCAUUCCCAAGCAACCCGACUCCGGGAAGACUGCGCCCCGGCGCGACGGGGGCCGCUACCGGCCUCACACCGUCCCUGGGUUGAGCCUCAAUCAGAAGGACUCGGGCCCCCACGCCGACACCGGGAAAACAAUCUUCCGUACGCCACAUGUCCCGCGCCCGACUGGGCGGGCGGGGAUUCGGCGCUGGGCUUUUCCCUCUUCGCUCGCCGCUACUAGGGGAAUCCUGGUUAGUUUCUUUUCCUCCGCUUACUGAUAUGCUUAAGUUCAGCGGGUUGUCUCGUCUGAUCUGAGGUCGUAUUCGAGAUUGGUUGUGGCGUGGCCUCGACCGCCUUGCGACGGGAGGUCUCACUGGGUGAGAGGUGGCGCCACGGAGCGGACCACCCUCUUCAACCGGUCAUGCCCCUUCGCCAGCCACCGGCUGCCCUCGACAAACGCCCAGACACGGACAGCUUAAGAGGAGACACGGGGUCAUCCACCGGCUGCCACAUCCAGACAAUGUCAUCCUUGGACACCGGGACGGGAGGGGUUCCUGCCGCCGUGAGGCGGAGGAGACUGGGGAGAGAAGAGGGGGCCGACCGCGACACCUUGAACUUCACCUGGUCCCUUACGGACGUCUGAACUUAGGGGGACGAAGGCCUGCGAAAGGCCUGCGACGCCCCAACCGCGGAAGAAAGAGAGGCACUGGAAGACCGUCCCUUGGUUCCGAUUGAUUGCCAACGCGACUCUCAGACAGGCGUAGCCCCGGGAGGAACCCGGGGCCGCAAGGUGCGUUCGAAAGGUCGAUGAUCAAUGUGUCCUGCAAUUCACAUUAGUUCUCGCAGCUAGCUGCGUUCUUCAUCGACGCACGAGCCGAGUGAUCCACCGCUAAGAGUUGUACAUUUUGUUUGAUUUUUUCGGCAAGACGAUGUUCAAGACAAUUUGUAUCGACGGGGCUAACCCACAGGCGCCGCGCCACACCACACCCCGUGGCCCGACGCGGUCAUGAACCCCUCGCCCACCUGCGUGACAGGCGGGAGAGUGUGUUAGGGUACCUGCGAGCGCACAGUGGUUCGGUCAGGUCGACACCGAGCUGCGCUUAGUUUUGUCCGAGCAAAGCGGGGGGCGAGACCCGGUCUCCCAGCUACGGCACUCCAGUUAGGGCCUCCCCAGACGCCUGCACCGCGUGCUCUGUCAGACCUCAGAGAACGCCGCGUCACAGUGCGGUCCGGGGUGGGCUGGUAGGGGGGCUUACGUGGCAGUGCGCAGCCGGUCGGGAUUCACACCCCUCCCAACGAUCGCUGUGUGUGUGUCACUUUAGAUACUGCUUAAUCAUUUGACCAAAGAUAUAACAACAAAAAGGGUUUUUAUUGAUUUCUCUCUCAUAAGCCUGCUCUCUGUUAAAGGUCACUGAGGGUCACACAGACACACACAGAGCUCCCAGCACUGCCCUGUGUAUUGUAUUAAGUCACAGCAAGGCCCAAUGGCUCACACUUAUCUCCCUUUAGGCCCCAGAAGCCUGCCUGCUGUUAAAGGUCACUGAGGGUCCCACAGACACACACAGAGCUCCCAGCACUGCCCUGUGUGUUGUAUUAAGUCACUGACAGGCCCAGAGGCACAGACACCUCCCAAGGUGUUGUCGUCCCUCCUCUAUGCUUGGGGGGAGAUGGGCCUCCCCGGGUCCCCAAGCUUGACGGACAUCCGUUUAGCCGUGGCCACAUACAACUUUGACUCAGAGAUAGGCUUUCCCAAAGAAAGCCAAGAAGAAGAACAACAGUGUGUUGUCAGAGGAGAGAGAAGUCCGGCCAGGUGAGUCUGCUCACCUGAAGAGACAGACUCUGAGGAGGAGCAGCUCUGGACCUCCGGAUUGACCGCACGCUGACCAUCUACGGCAUCAGCCAGGACAACGACGCCAAGGCGUUGUCGCCCGGCGCCAUCCAGGUGUCCUGGAAGGAGCCGGAGCACAACACACAGGACAUCAUCGGCUACGUGCUGCACAUCCGGCGGUCCUCAGAACCGAGAACAGCGCCGGCUCCACGCAGGCCAGCGCCCGCCUCACCGUGCUGUGGGCCGACGGGCUCCCCGGGGCCCCCACACAGGUGCGGGCCCAGGCGUUGUCGCCCGGCGCCAUCCAGGUGUCCUGGAAGGAGCCGGAGCAGAACACACAGGACAUCAUCAGCUACGUGCUGCACAUCCGGCUGUCCUCAGGUGUUGUCGUCCCUCCUCUAAGCUUGGGGGGAGAUGGGCCUCCCCGGGUCCCCAAGCUUGACGGACAUCCGUUUAGCCGUGGCCACAUACAACUUUGACUCAGAGAUAGGCUUUCCCAAAGAAAGCCAAGAAGAAGAACAACAGUGUGUUGUCAGAGGAGAGAGAAGUCCGGCCAGGUGAGUCUGCUCACCUGAAGAGACAGACUCUGAGGAGGAGCAGCUCUGGACCUCCGGAUUGACCGCACGCUGACCAUCUACGGCAUCAGCCAGGACAACGACGCCAAGGCGUUGUCGCCCGGCGCCAUCCAGGUGUCCUGGAAGGAGCCGGAGCACAACACACAGGACAUCAUCGGCUACGUGCUGCACAUCCGGCGGUCCUCAGGUCAGGACCACACACACGCACAUGUGCAUAGCAUAUUAUUAUUAUUAUAACUUUAUUCAAGACACAGGAAGGUCCACAUAGACAGCACACUACAUAUAUAAACACAUAUACAUACACAUAUAUAUCUACGCAUAUGAAUACACACACACUCAUCCCCCACCUAACUUGCAUAGUUUGGUGAGUGUACCAGAACUACAGUAUCCUAAUUAUAUAAGAGGGGACCCCUCGCUCAAGUAGUUUAGCAAACAGUUUCCCAUAUCUGUUGAUAACAUAAUCUGCAAGCCUAUCCAUAAGGAUCCCUUCUAUUACCUUGGACAGUAUACUUGCAAGUGCAAUAGGCCUAUAGUUAUCAAUACUAGUCUUAUUUUGAACUACAGGUAUCAACAAGACAGAUAACAUGGAUCCUGGGAGUAUGCCAUGCUUCAUUAACCCGGAAAAGCAUAGAGCAAGUAUCUCUCUCUCUCUCUCUCUCUCUCUCUCUCUCUCUCUCUCUCUCUCUCUCUCUCUCUCUCUCUCUCUCUCUCUCUCUCUCUCUCUCUCUCUCUCUCUCUCUCUCUCUCUCUCUCUCUCUCUCUCUCUCUCUCUCUCUCUCUCUCUCUCUCUCUCUCUCUCUCUCUCUCUCUCUCUCAAAUAACCACCAGGCAGCACACCGCUUUCAACAGAUAAGAAACAAGCAUUCAACUAACUGUAAGUUAACUACACUACUUGUUUGUCCAGAACCGAGAACAGCGCCGGCUCCACGCAGGCCAGCGCCCGCCUCACCGUGCUGUGGGCCGACGGGCUCCCCGGGGCCCCCACACAGGUGCGGGCCCAGGCGUUGUCGCCCGGCGCCAUCCAGGUGUCCUGGAAGGAGCCGGAGCAGAACACACAGGACAUCAUCAGCUACGUGCUGCACAUCCGGCUGUCCUCAGGUGUUGUCGUCCCUCCUCUAUGCUUGGGGGGAGAUGGGCCUCCCCGGGUCCCCAAGCUUGACGGACAUCCGUUUAGCCGUGGCCACAUACAACUUUGACUCAGAGAUAGGCUUUCCCAAAGAAAGCCAAGAAGAAGAACAACAGUGUGUUGUCAGAGGAGAGAGAAGUCCGGCCAGGUGAGUCUGCUCACCUGAAGAGACAGACUCACCUGUUUUGUUUUAGUUUUAGUUCUAUAUAUUUAUUCAUGUUGUGUUUUAGUUCUAUAUAUUUAUUCAUGUUCCGUGUUUUUGUUAUAUAUAUUUAUUCAUGUUUUGUUUUAGUUGUUUGAAACUUUUCAAUAAAAAAAACAUUUGGAAA